GGUGUCAGUGGCAGACGGGUGAGUAACACGUGGGAACGUGCCCUUCGGUUCGGAAUAACUCAGGGAAACUUGAGCUAAUACCGGAUACGCCCUUUUGGGGAAAGGUUUACUGCCGAANGAUCGGCCCGCGUCUGAUUAGCUUGUUGGUGGGGUAACGGCCUACCAAGGCGACUAUCAGUAGCUGGUCUGAGAGGAUGAUCAGCCACACUGGGACUGACACACGGCCCACACUCCUACGGGAGGCAGCAGUGGGGAAUAUUGGACAAUGGGCGCAAGCCUGAUCCACCCAUGCCGCGUGAGUGAUGAAGGCCUUAGGGUUGUAAAGCUCUUUUGUCCGGCACUAUUAUGACGGUCCCGGAAGAAUAAGCCCCGGCUAACUUCGUGCCAGCACCCGCGGUAAUACAAAGGGGGCUAGCGUUGCUCGAAAUCACUGGGCGUAAAGGGCGCGUAGGCGGCCGAUUAACUCGGGGGUGAAAGCCUGUGGCUCAACCACAGAAUUGCCUUCGAUACUGGUUGGCUUGAGACCGGAAGAGGACAGCAAAUCUGCGAGUGUAGAGGUGA
rnacentral:rRNA from 1 species